GACGAACGCUGGCGGCGUGCUUAACACAUGCAAGUCGAACGGAAAGGCCCUGCUUUUGUGGGGUGCUCGAGUGGCGAACGGGUGAGUAACACGUGAGUAACCUGCCCUUGACUUUGGGAUAACUUCAGGAAACUGUGGCUAAUACCGGAUAGGAUCUCCUGCUGCAUGGUGGGGGUUGGAAAGUUUCGGCGGUUGGGGAUGGACUCGCGGCUUAUCAGCUUGUUGGUGGGGUAGUGGCUUACCAAGGCUUUGACGGGUAGCCGGCCUGAGAGGGUUACCGGCCACAUUGGGACUGAGAGACGGCCCAGACUCCUACGGGAGGCAGCAGGGGGGAAUAUUGCACAAUGGGCGGAAGCCUGAUGCAGAAACGCCGCGUGCGGGAUGACGGCCUUCGGGUUGUAAACCGCUUUCGCCUGUGACGAAGCGUGAGUGACGGUAAUGGGUAAAGAAGCACCGGCUAACUACGUG
rnacentral:rRNA from 1 species